rnacentral:tRNA from 1 species
GGGCGGUUAGCUCAGCGGGAGAGCAUCGGCCUUACAAGCCGGGGGUCACAGGUUCAAGUCCUGUACCGCCCACCA